rnacentral:lncRNA from 10 species
GCUUUUCCGGUCGCCGCGGUCCUCUGCGCGGGAUGUGGCUCUGAGCUUCGGGGUAGUCCGCGAGGCUGGGUUCCGUGCUGAGGGGCGUCGCGUCUGGCCGUGCGCUGCGGGAGCGCGCGGGCCUGGCCCGCUGUCCUGGCCGCUGCGAGGCGCUCAGCUUCUUUCUGAGUGUUCCGCCGGGUUCGACAGGGUCGAGGUCGCCGGCGCGAGGCUCCCGGAUAGCUGAGGGGCGCGAGGGCGCCUCCAGUCUCCCACCUGCCCUCCCGCGCCGCGGACUAGGCUGCCAGUCUACCCCACCGGGACGUCUGCCCCCGCAUGCAGGAGGGGGUGUGUCGGCCCAACGGGGUCUCAGGACCUGUCCCUGCUCCUCCAAAGCCCACGUCGCCUGCGGCGCCCCUCGGGUCUGCGCCGCGUUCUCCUUUAGCCUCCCGGGCCUCUCCGCUGCCCCUCGCCCCCAGGCACCAGCCACACCUGCUUCCUUCUGUUCCCGCCCGUGGCCUCUGACACGCCGUGCCCUGGACCCGAAAUGCCCGCCCCACUCCUGGAGCCUCCGGUGUGUGAGAGGCACCUUUCCUUGGGGUCAGGGGCCCGGACUCUGAAGCCGGCCUGGCUUUGCCUGUGGGCCCCGAUCCUCCCAGCUCGAGUCCCUCGCCCCAGCCGCCGCGGGCCUUCACCUGUGCUUUGGGGACGACAGGAUGGCCACCCUCCUUCCCCCAAAGAUUUGAGGGUUUUGCUCCACGCGGGAGAAGGUCUGCCUGUGCCACCAGCCGGCAGCCUUUCACAUGCUGUUGCGUUACGGGGCCCUCUGUGACCUUUCCCUAGGCCGAGGGGUGCUUCGUCUCUGUUCCUGAGAGACCAGAAUUUAUUCUUGGUUUGUCAAGCCACAUCUGUAGGAAUGUUGCCCAGUUGCAGCAGGCUGGGGUCUGGGACUUGCUCCUUUGGCGAAUUGAGAAGUAAGGAUAUAGAAGGCAUUUUAGCACUAAUGGAAACCAGAACCACUCUUAGACCUGGGCAAGAGGGGCCCCAGAAAUUAGCAAGCGAUUAGCAAGCAGCUGGAUUUCGAUGACCUCCACUGUACUUAGAGCAACGGCAUUCGAUUCGUUGGAUCAUUUCAAAGAUGACAUACUGGGUUGUUUGUUUGUUUCUGGCGGUGUCUAAAGAUGGAACAUCUUGAAGCAUUUUGAAUUUGACCUGUGGCUACCCUCAGAUACAAUGAUGGUAACCCCAUGAGUGCUGUUAAAGCAAUUUGACUUAUUGUAGACAGGUUAACACAUGAGAUGCGUUAAAAGAGUUAAGUGAAAUAAUAGGCAGCAUUCAAAGAGCAAAUCGUGGUCUUUGGCAGAAAAUAGAGUUAAUUUUGUAUUUGAGCUGUCCAGUUAUUACAAUUAGAAAACGUUUUAAAGAAUCCAAAAGGAUUUAAAAUAUUGCAUAAAGUUUUAGGAGAAAAUGGUUUCCAAAAAGCAACUGCAUAUGAAAUAAGCACUAAAAUGACAUUAAAGUACAAUGUAAGAAAAUCGGAACUAGAAGCAUUUGCUGGAGUCUGAAGAAAAAGAUUUAUGGAUGAAUGAUUCUGAAACUAACUUCUAUAGAGACAAUUUUCCGGCGAUGGUAGAUCAAGGUGUAGAUUGUACUGAAGAGAGAGAUUCAAACAAAGUGAGACAGAACUACAUUCUGCCCAGGUCUAGGCAUCCCGUUGAAGGAAACGAUGGAAGGAAUCGACGUGUG